rnacentral:rRNA from 1 species
GACGAACGCUGGCGGCGUGCUUAACACAUGCAAGUCGAACGGAAAGGCCCUGCGUUUGUGGGGUGCUCGAGUGGCGAACGGGUGAGUAAAACGUGAGUAACCUGCCCUUGACUUUGGGAGAUCUUCAGGAAACUGGGGCUAAUACCGGAUAGAAUCUCCUGCUGCGUGGUGGGGGUUGGUAAGUGUCGGCGGUUUGGUCUGGACUCGCGGCUUAUCAGCUUGUUGGUGUGGUAGUGGCUUACCAGGCCUUUGACGGGUAGCCGGCCUGAGAGAGUGACCGGCCACAUGGGGACUGCGAGACGGCCCAGACGCCUACGGGAGGCAGCAGUGGGGAGUAUUGCACAAUGGGCGGACGCGUGUUGCAGCAACGCCGCGUGCGGGAUGACGGGCUUCGGGUUGUAAACCGCUUUCGCCUGAGACGAAGCGUGAGUGACGGUAAUGAGUAAAGAAGCACCGGCUAACUACGUG